CCUACGGGUGGCAGCAGUCGAGAAUCAUUCACAAUGGGGGAAACCCUGAUGGUGCGACGCCGCGUGGGGGAAUGAAGGUCUUCGGAUUGUAAACCCCUGUCAUGUGGGAGCAAAUUAAAAAGAUAGUACCACAAGAGGAAGAGACGGCUAACUCUGUGCCAGCAGCCGCGGUAAUACAGAGGUCUCAAGCGUUGUUCGGAAUCACUGGGCGUAAGGCGUGCGUAGGCUGUUUCGUAAGUCGUGUGUGAAAGGCGCGGGCUCAACCCGCGGACGGCACAUGAUACUGCGAGACUAGAGUAAUGGAGGGGGAACCGGAAUUCUCGGUGUAGCAGUGAAAUGCGUAGAUAUCGAGAGGAACACUCGUGGCGAGGGCGGGUUCCUGGACAUUAACUGACGCUGAGGCACGAAGGCCAGGGGAGCGAAAGGGAUUAGAUACCCCUGUAGUC
rnacentral:rRNA from 1 species